rnacentral:lncRNA from 1 species
AGAAACUAUUUCCUGGGCUAAGACUCCAAGUCCAGGGCUCUUGUCCCCAGAGGACCUGUCUCCUAGAGCCAGAAAGGAAUUCUACAGUGAACACAGGGUUAAAGUAAACUCUUGCAGCUGAAAGUCUGGAAUUCUGGCUAACAAUACCUAAAUAUCUUUAGUCAGCACCAAAGUGGAAAUUGUGCACUAAUUGGAGUUCAGUGAUGCAGAUAAUAUGGAAUGGAGUACACGGGCUGACAGAAAAUUCUCUCCAGCAGCUGAGCUACUUUCACUACAUUUCAGCCCUAACAACAGAACCCAAAACAAAAAAAGGGGAUCAGAGAACCAGGAGAUGAUGAGUCAGGAGACAUGGAAUUAAAAAGGACUGGAUCACUCUGUCUCUAAUCAAGAACACUUACCAUCUUUUACAACUAGUAUUCUAAAGAACAAGAGUUUGGGAACAUUUCUGAGCCUUGAGUACUGAAGUCAUUUCCUUAGAAGCGUGAACACAGAAGUAGUGAAGAUGGAGGGGAACUGGGACUAGGCAAAGGGGACCAGUCUCUCGGGUCUGGGCUAUUUGCUGAUCAUGUACAGAAUGUCUGCAAGUAAUCAAACACACCUGAAGACCCUUCGAGAGAUAGGAAAAUAUCAAGAUCCAGAGCACAGCUUCCGGAGCCAUUCUGCCUGGAAUCAGGUCAUCAUUCCACACCUGACCCAGGAGCCUGGUGAGAGAGAGCCAAGGGGAGAGAGAUUGAUGGGAGAGCAUAAACCCCUGAAAUGUUCUCACACCGUGUGA